UCAACAGUUAUCUACAUUAUCAUAGCCUCACAGUAUUAUACGUUCUAGUAACUUCUUAAUUUGGUCCCGUUCAUGUGCUCAGAGAAUCCCAAGGUGAAGAACUAGGGGACCAUUGUUCACAUCUGGUGGAGAUGCCUUGGGUCAUUCCUUCUGGGCCAGGAGCACCAUCCAGGCAGGACCGGAUCCCCCUAAAUCUCCAUACCCCUGUCUUCCUCAGGAUGAGCCUCAGAAUGCAUAUCUGAUUAAUAUUUAUUGAUCAGCCAAGGAGGUGAUGAGAAUGCAGUCUCAUAUCCCAGGGCAAAUAUAAUCUAAGUUAGUUUUCCAUAGAAAGUAAGCUUAUGUAAAUUGGCCAUGGAAAACUGUUCUCCCUUGCAUCCCCCAUUCUUCAUCCAAGGCGCCUGAUUCUCCAAUCAUCUCCUGCUUUUUUCCUAGAACACUCCUUGGAUCAAGUCUUCCCAGAGGUCCUGACCACCUGAGGUCCAGGGCUCAGCUUUCUGGGUGGGCCUGAAGUAAGCAGGGAUGCUGAGAGGUUUGCCAGUCUCUGGUGUAUUCUGAAGGGAGCCAUCAUGAACAUCACUGGAAUCAUGAAAAACCCCAAAUGGAGCAGACAUGGAAGGCUAAGAGCCAGGACAAACUACUCUGCCUGGGAAGGAGCAAGAAAUGGCCUACAGACCACUCAGCCUGGGAAGUUUGUUUCUUCAAAUACUGGCAUCCUGAGGAAAUGCUGAGCUCCCUUGAGUGAAAGCAGGCCUGUGGGAGAGGUGACAAGUUCCGGGCAGGGGCUGGCAGUGGCCCUGGCAAGGGUUAGAAUGUGCCUCUUGCCAUGAUGACUGAAUCUACUGGCUGCAUUGGCCUGUCCAUCACGUGGAACAAACAGAUAAAUCACCAAAUACCUUUGUCCUGACCAGUAGUCACAGAGUUGUUUUCUUUAAUCUUUAAAAUAACUUGUGAACUUCGCAUUGUUGUUACUCCCAUUCUUCAGUUGAGUAAAUGAAGGCUCAGGGACGUCGAGGAAGUCGAUUCAGGCCGCGUGUGUGGUGUGUGAGGGCUAGGGGGUUUGUGGAGCCCGGCCCAGCCUGGGGCUCCUUUGCCGUCAGGAGCCUCUGCAGAGGCUGGAAGACGUGAGUGAAGUUAGCGUACUGAACUCCCAAGCAGCUGUGCGCACAGAUGGCUCCCUCUGAGGUAAAGUGGCCCUGUGGGUCCCACUGGCUGUCUGAGAUGAUGAGCAGAUGUCCUGCUGGAUGGAAGGUGUGGGGAGACCCAGAGAGCCAGCUGUUCUCCUGGCCAUUCUCUUCCCCAAGGCCCCGGACCAACCGGUGAGACUCCCAGGGAUCAGACAGGGCGACAGGGCAAGAGGCCUGUGGCUUUCAUCACAAGGGAAAGAGCAGAUCAGCACAAAUCCAUCACCACUUCUGGAAAAACAGCUCCCAGGACAUGCCUGACUGCUCCUGAAGCUUGGCAGAGCAGUUUGGCAAACUGGCCCCUCCAGUGCUGCCUUUCUUCGGCAAAGUUUCUGUGACAAGAAAGAGGGAUUUCUUAACUGCUCAGCUGCGGGAAUUACAGGGUGGAAGGGGCUGUGGUGAAAUGGGGUACAAUGCAUCCCAGCCCUGCAGGGCUUCCUGCCGCAUGGGGGCCCUGGGGCUCAGGAUCUGCAGGCAGCCACACCUGUCUCCUUAUUCCCUGAAACAUAACGAUAGAGAAGUUAAAGACCAGUUCAUAACCCUACCAUGGCCUCUAAAUGUUCAAGUCAAAGAAAGAGUCCCAUAUCUCCAACUUUAAAUAAAAAGCUAGAAAUGAUUAAGCUUAGUGAGGAAGGCAUGUCAAAAGCUGAGAUAGGCUGAAAGCUAGGCCUCUGGUACCAGUCGGCUGACUUGUGAAUGCAAACAAAGAGUUCUUGAAGAAAAUUUAAAAUGCUUCUCCAAUGAACACAUGAGUGAAAAAAAGUAAAACUGCCUGGUUGCUGAUAUGGAGAAAAUUUUAGUGGCCUGGAUAGAAGAUCAAAGUAGCCACAACAUUCCCUUAAGCCAAAGCCUAAUCCAGAGCAAGGCCUUAAUGAUCUUCAGUUCUGUGCAGGCUGAGAGAGCUGCCUCAUGGAGCUGCAGAAGGAAAGCUGGAAGCUCGCAGAGGUUGGUUCAUGAGGGUUAAGGGAAGAGGCCGUCUCCAUAACAUCAAAGUGCAAGAUGGAGCAGCAGGUGCUGAUGGGAAAGUGCAGCAAGUUAUCGAGAAGAUCCAGCUAAGAUAAUUCAUGACGAGGGUUAUACUAAACCAUGUUUUCAAUGCAGAUGAAACAGCCCUCUCUCGGAAGAAGAUGCUAUCUAGGACUUUCAUAGCUAGAGAGGAGAAGCCAAUGGCUGCCUUCCAAGAGCUUCCAAGGACAGGCUGACUCUCUUUUUAGGAGCUAAUGGAUCUGGUGACUUAAAGUUGAAGCCACUGCUCAUUUACCAUUUCCGAAGAUCCCAGACCCCUUAAGAAUUAUGCUAGAUCUCCUCUGCCUGUGCUCUAUAAAUGGAGUAUCAAAGGCCUGAAUGACAGCACAUAUGUUUCCAACAUGGUUUACUGAGUAUUUUAAGCCCACUGUUGAGACCUACUGCCUAGAAGUGAAGUGUCUUUUCCAAGUAUUACUGCUCAUUGACAAUGCACCUGGCCAUCCAAGAACUUUGAUGGAGAUAUAUGAGAUUAAUGAUUGCAUGACUGCUAGUCCAACAUCCAUUCUGUAGCCCAUGGACCAAGGAGUCAUUUUGACUUUCAAGUCUUAGUAUUUAGGAAAUACACUCCAUAGAGCUAUAGCUGCCAUAGAUAGCGAUUCCCCUGAUAGAUCUGAGCUAAGUAAAUUGAAAUCCUUCUGAAAAGGAUUCGCCAUUCUAGAUGCCAUCAAGAACAUUUGUGAUUCAUGGGAAGAGGUCAAAAUAUUAACAUUAACAGAAGUUUGGAAGAAGUGGAUUCUAGCCCUCAUGGAUGACUCAGAGGUUCGAGAUCUCAGGGGAGGAAGUAACUAUAGAUGUGGUGGAUAAAGCAAAAAAACUAGAAUUAGAAGUGGAGCCAGAAGGUGUGACGUAAUUGCUGCAUCUCGUGAUAAAACUUUAACAGAUGAGGAGCUGCUUCCUAUGGAUGAUGAGCGAAGAAGU